rnacentral:rRNA from 1 species
CGUCCAAAGGAAGUUGGGGAAAGUGGCGCACGGGUGAGUAACACGUAUGCAACCUGCCCCUGUCAGGGGGACAACCCGCCGAAAGGCGGGCUAAACCCGCGUACAUGCCACCGGGGCAUCCCGGAGGCAGGAAAGGCUUCGGCCGGACAGGGAUGGGCAUGCGGCGCAUUAGGCAGUAGGCGGGGUAACGGCCCACCUAACCGACGAUGCGUAGGGGUUCUGAGAGGAAGGUCCCCCACACUGGUACUGAGACACGGACCAGACUCCUACGGGAGGCAGCAG